GAUCGCCUUUGGCCUUAUCACAUAAUAUACACUGNUGAACCGGUGGCUUCGGCCCAAACUUGAAGUCUUGAAUGUAAUAUAUCAUAACAAAAUACAACUUUUAACAACGGAUCUCUUGGCUCUCGCAUCGAUGAAGAACGCAGCGAAAUGCGAUAAGUAAUGUGAAUUGCAGAAUUCAGUGAAUCAUCGAAUCUUUGAACGCACCUUGCGCCCUCUGGUAUUCCGGAGGGCAUGCCUGUUUGAGUGUCAUGAACACCUCACCCCCUCGGGUUUCCGAUCGGGUGGAUUUGGGUGCUGCCAGUUACAUGGCUCGCCUUAAAAGCAUUAGCGGUUGUUGACGUAAUAAGUUUCGUCUUGUCGACCGCUCCUAAUCUCCUUCGGGAUGUCUCUAGGGACACUUCAUGAUCUGACCUCAAAUCAGGUAGGACUACCCGCUGAACUUAAGCAUAUCAAUAAGCGGAGGAA
rnacentral:rRNA from 1 species